rnacentral:tRNA from 1 species
GGGGAUGUGGGGUUAAUUAAUAAGUUAAUAAAAUCAGUUGGUUGUGAUUGUAUUGGCGAAUCGACAUCCAAGGGGUCAGCAGUUCGAGUCUGCUCGUUCCUGCCA